UAAAAGUAGGCAAGAGCAAAUGGAAAUGUUUUUUUGGGGGGGGGGUUUUUAGGGGUAGUCACAAAGAUGUUAUGAGAAGGGUCCCGAGGUUACAACCUUGAGGAACUCCCUACGUGAUAUUUGGCUGUACAGGUCUAUUUAGCACAGUGUCAAACAAUUUCAGCUACUUUUACAAUUUAUCAGUCAGGAUGUGAAUAAUCAACAGUGUGGACACAGGUGGUGGGACAUGGAGCUUGAGCUGUUUUACAGACAGACAGACGGAUGGAUGGUAAAGUAGUUGAGGGCAAGUUAUGUGAAAAGUAAACUUUACUCCUAUAUUUUUUUUUUUUUUAGUUUUGUGGGGAUUUUUUUUUUUUUUUUUUUUUACAACCGUUUCCUCUACUGCCCAAUUUGAACAAGCGAAAACACGCAGAAGUGCCUCCAGGAUUUGCUGAAGGGUAUUUCCUCCUUCUCGAUUAGAACGCCAACCCCGAGGAUUUGGGAAAAGAGCAACCGAGGGAUGCCGAGUGAACAAUCUCCAAGGUUAGCGGCGCUGUAGGUGAAGCCCGCUUGGACCGGUUUGGGUCCUGAGGGCCGAGAGCAGCAGGACGGAGCACAAGAAACAAAACCCGUCCAGCGAUUCGCAAGGCCCUUUUUCUUCUGACCCUGUCACAUCACGACACUUUUACUUCAAAAGAUCCGGCAGCUCUCAGGGGUCUUUGGACCCCAAAUACCAAUUAGAGAGAUUAGAGAGGAGUCAAAACAAGAGCCGAGGAGUUUUACUAACCUUACCGUCCGACCCCCUCCCUCCCUCUCCUCUCCUCUCUGCCUCAUCCAGCUGGCACUCCAUUCCAACAAACUUACUUCAGACUUCAUUUCAAACAUGAAAGUUGAAGACUGAGAAGGCCUAAAUUUCGAAAUGGUCGAGCGUUUCUGCUCGCCGUAUAAGCCGCGGCCUCAAAUCUCUACUUUUGAGAGAGAUUCUCACUAUUAUUCAGAAAGAACGAAAGAGAAAAAAACUGAGCAACACACCGGGCCUUAACAUACUUACAUUUUACUUUUAAGGCUGAGUUUAUAAAGCACAGCAGAGCCCAAAUCCCUCCAGUGUUGGACGGCUGCCAAAGCAGAACAACAGCCAGAGUGAGUGGAGCCAGCAGCUCUAAUGGAGCGCUCCCUGUAACUGUACCUCUUAGAGCAGUUCUCAUUGACAUUCUUCACUUCUACACCACCCAUUUUCAAAUUGUUCCAAUUUUAGGGGGGCAGGGAGAGGCUAGUGCACCCCCAUUUCCCCCCGUCCCCCUUUUUUUUCUAGGUAUUUCAAAGUAAUAGUUGGAUCCAUGUGGUUGUUCACGGCGACUCGCUCACGAUGGCAUUUCCAGAAAUGGAAUGCGGUUCCCCAGAGUUAGGUUUUGUAAAUACUUAUAGAGAGACAGACGUGCUUCUUCAGUUCGUCUCCACCGCUGUCAGAUGUCAUUAUACACAAAGCUGCCCUGCCAGAACAAUGCGCUGAGCUUCGUAUUAAACAGCCUCCAAAGCCUGGAAACAGGCAGGGGGCGGGAUGAGGGGGCAGUAAUAAAGAGCUGCCAGGAAUUUCAGUUUUUUUUUUUUUUUUGCAUACUUUUUUAGUUUUUUGUUUUCUUCAUUUUGUUUUGGCAAUCGAAAAUGCUCACAUGUCAGUUUUACUCCGUCAGCAAGAAGGAAAGUUGCUGAUGGGAAAUUUUCUGUGAAAAAAAAAAAAAAGAACCUUUAACCUUUUGUUCUUCUGCGCAGUAAUCCAAGCCACUGCCACGGCGAAGCCUUUGCCAGACACGUCUCCAUCACUUAUUGCACCAUCUACAAAAAAACUUUGGGAGUUGCGAAUGACGCUGUCCUUCACGUUCUUGAGCAGAUGACCCAAGAACUUCAGUCACACAAGACCACUUUUCAGCUCUGUGGUGAUCGUGAAACCAACUCCCUACUGGCCAUUGGAACCGUGUCUGUCCUGAUCUUCGGAAAGGAGGACUGAUAGUGUGAUGGUCAUCAUAGUGUGCUGCUACACUUUUCAGCAGGUGUGUGUGUGGCCAGUCCUCUCUGUGCUGCUGACAGAUGUCUGGAAAACGCCAUGCAUAAAUGAGACAAGACUUCCACAUAUAAAAGGCUAUGGCUGAUUGGAAGAAGUUCAUUAGCUCCUGUAUUAAUAUUGUUGAUGUCUAAUUCCAAUUUUUUUUUGCAUUGGACAGUUUGAUUUGCUUGACUCUUAUGGCAUCUUAUGCGGCAGAUGAGUAAUAUCUUCAUUGUUCUGUCUUUUCACAGAAUUGUUUCAGAAUCAGAUGCCCAUCCGGCCUUUAAAUCCUGACCAGUAGUCUUGUUUUGUUGUGUCUAUGUGAAACUUAAACAUAAUGAAGAUGUUAAAAAUAAUUGAACUCGUGUCUUCAGUCCGACAAGCCGAUGACAUCUCUUGUUCCAGGACCUUGAGUAAAAUAUGCAAUGACAAAAUAUAUAUUUUAAUCCUUCGUAACAAUAAAAGUAAACUACGGUAGUUUUAGAUGUUUCAAGAAAUUCAAUGUCAAGUAACAUUUUCUUUACUUCAGAAUAUUUUUCUUAAAAUAAGAUAAUAUAUCUUACAAGUAAAAUUGGCUUGUUCUAAGU